rnacentral:snRNA from 1 species
AUGCUCGCUUCAGCAGCACAUAUACUAAAAUUAGAACGAUACAAAGAAGAUUAGCAUGGCCCCUGCACAAGGAUGACACGCAAAUUUGUGAAGCGUUCCAUAUUAAA